rnacentral:rRNA from 1 species
GUGACGCCAGUCGCAUCGCCGGGGAGCUAUGUUCGGAAGGGAUAACCGCUGAAAGCAUCUAAGCGGGAAGCCUACCUCAAGAUAAGAUUUCCCUAGGACUUUAUGUCCUCUAAAGAGCCGUUCGAGACUAGGACGUUGAUAGGUUGGAUGUGGAAGCAUAGUGAUAUGUGAAGCUGACCAAUACUAAUUGCUCGUGAGGCUUGACUAUACAACACCCAAGCAGUUG